rnacentral:SRP_RNA from 1 species
GCCGGGUGUGGUGGUGGGCACCUGUAAUCCCAGCUACUCGGGAGGCUGAGGCAGGAUAAUCAGUUGAGCCCAGGAGACGGAGGUUGCAGUGAGCCGAGUUCGUACCACUGCACCCCAGCCUGGGCAACACAGUGAGACUCUGUCUCUA